GAUGAACGCUGGCGGUAUGCCUAACACAUGCAAGUCGUACGAGAGUUUUUAACUCUAGUGGCGGACGGGUGAGUAACACGUGAGAAUUUGCCUUUAGGAGGGGAUAACCUGGCGAAAGCCGGGCUAAUACCGCGUAAUGUUACAGGGUUUUCGGAUCUUGUAAUUAAAGAUGGCCUCUGCUUGCAAGCUAUCGCUGGAAGAUGAGCUCACAUCCUAUCACGCUUGUUGGUGAGGUAAUGGCUCACCAAGGCGACGACGGGUAGCCGGCCUGAGAGGGUGUCCGGCCACACUGGAACUGAGACACGGUCCAGACUCCUACGGGAGGCAGCAGUGGGGAAUUUUUCGCAAUGGGCGCAAGCCUGACGAAGCAACGCCGCGUGGAGGAUGAAGGCCCUAGCGGUCGUAAACUCCUGUCUAGCGGGACGAAUGUCUGUGGGUGAAUACCCCCGCAGAGUGACUGUACCGCUGGAGGAAGCUCCGGCUAACUCCGUGCCAG
rnacentral:rRNA from 1 species